UUACUCUCGCUGCCAGCCCGGUCCCACAUGGUAGACGCUCCCAAGCAAGAAGCUGGUUGAACCGAACCAGGUUCCGUCCCCAAACCAUUCAUUCCCGGCACAAUCUCCCAGCACAGCAGCGGCCAUGGCGCCAGCGCUGGCGGACGACCUCCUCCUCCUCUGCAAGCCCUGGCGCCGCCUCCUCUCCGGCGCGGCGCCUGCUUCCGCCGCCGCUAUCGCGAGUUCCACUUCCACGGGGCUCCGCCGCUGCUGGGGCACCUCCACGCGCUGAGAACCGCAAUCCAAGUGGCCUCUGCAGGUGAGGGGCCAGGAGACUGCGCUUCAAGUGCUUGAUAAACUCAAUCUGCUUGUGGUCUUCAGAAUCAUGCAGGAAGCAGGUUGGAGAGAUGGGAUUUGUCAGAUCGUGUGGUGGGACAACUCUUUUAGGGUCUGUUUUGGUUAUCUUGUGGUGGGACAACUCUUUAGGAUCCCUGAAAUUUUGUGGUGGGGAUUAUGCUUUUCUUGCGUGAACAGUGCGAAUCAACCAAGUUUGUGAACCUGCAGAGUUAGGGGCCUCAUCAUCUGGCAGUGACAACUGACAAGGCCUUUUGUUUUAGAUUAGUACUAGGUGGUAACACAAUUCUUUCAAUGUGGAAAUGCCAUCAAGAAGGUUAGGCCAGUUAGGUGGUUUGUUAUGCAAGAUUGUAAUUGUAACUUGCAAGGUAUUCGAACUGGGCAUCCAAUCGUGAUCCUCUGUUCCUAAAAGAAAGGAUGGAAAAUGAUAUCUGUGUGAAAGAGGUAUUUGGGUUAGGGGCUAUUUGUUGGCCCUUGUGGUUGUUGAGAAACAAAUGCCCACCGAGAGAAAAUUGGACCACCACCAGCUGAUGUAUUUUCAUUUACUUUUUUUUUUGCGUUUUUGCAGCAACUGAAGAGGCUUCUACAGGCGACGGACCAACAGAUUGAUGGUGCUUGAAGUGCAUGACAAACUCAAAAAAUGUGUGUUCAAGGGACGGUGCUUCGAGGAUAAGCUUGUGCCCAUGUAGAAAUCAACAUAAAUCAGGUUCAUUAUUCAUAUCUCCUGGUUGCAGUUUGCUUAAUAUUCUUCGUUACCAAAAUGUCUGGACUUGGUCCUCUUUGACGUGCUCAAGGCACGUCAGAACUGCGUUGGAGGCCAAUCUUGACAGUUUCUUUUGCAUCCGACGCACAGACAAUUAAGGCUUUGACUAGGUAUCAGGCGACUGAGAUUAAGAAAAUCUCAGUCGAUGCGUGGCCUGUCCAUCAGCUCUGGACGGAAAACAACAUUUGUAUAUGCAUGAGAUUGAAUACAUACGCGAGCCAUCAUGUGCAUGCAGGACAAUUGAAUACAUACGGAUGUUAAGAUAACCUGCCGUAGGAGUUGUAGAUAAGCAACAGUAGAUAUUGUCUUGUAUAACAAGGAAAACGAGCCUAACAACUUCUGUUGUAAUCUUACGUUAGCGAUCCGAUCUGUGGACGCAACGACCUGAAUAUCUCUGCUAUAAAUAGAACCGAUCGGCAUCAGUUGAUGCACGGCGAAACACA